rnacentral:rRNA from 1 species
GUCGAGAGGCUUCGGCAAUGGGGGAAACCCUGACCGAGCGACGCCGCGUGAAGGAUGAAGGCCCUUGGGUUGUAAACUUCUUUUGCUGGGGAAGAAAUGCGAUCAGGUGAACAAUCUGGUCGCUUGACGGUACCCGGCGAAUAAGCUCCGGCUAACUCCGUGCCAGCAGCCGCGGUAACACGGGGGGAGCAAGCGUUGUUCGGAAUCACUGGGCGUAAAGGGCGUGUAGGCGGUCAGGUAAGUGGGUUGUGAAAGCCCUCGGCUCACCCGAGGAUCUGCAAUCCAAACUGCCUGGCUUGAGUAUGGGAGAGGAUGAGGGAAUUCCUGGUGUAGCGGUGAAAUGCGUAGAUAUCAGGAGGAACACCGGUGGCGAAGGCGCUCAUCUGGCCCAAUACUGACGCUGAGGCGCGAAAGCUAGGGGAGCAAACGGGAUUAGAAACCCUAGUAGUCC